rnacentral:tRNA from 1 species
CAAGGUGUAGCGCAGUCCGGUAGCGCAUCUGUUUUGGGUGCAGAGGGCCAUAGGUUCAAAUCCUGUCACCUUGA